rnacentral:lncRNA from 1 species
GAUUCUCCUGCCUCAUCCUUCAGAAUGCUAAGAUUCCAGGUGUGCAUUAGCACACCUAGCUCUGUUCAUUUUUAAGUAAUUUAAGGUUUUCGUUUUCAUUCUUGUAUCUUGCCUCUCUUCCUUUAGUUGAAUAGACAUAGGUUUUCUAAUUCUCGUGUGCUUCCUCAGCCUCUAAGACUGUUAUGUUGAGAAACCCUGCAAUUGUCUUCUAUGAGUACAGGGUAAUAAUAACAAGUGUUUGGGCCAAGGUGAGAGUUCACAGUGAUACAUUCAAUUGCUAUUACUGUGCUAGUUUAGUCUUUGGAUAAACCUGUAUCUGGUCUUGAGGCCUGUGUCCUGUCUUUUUUAGCUGCCUGCUUCCAACUUUUUCCCUCUUUCCUUCUGCUGGCCCUAAAAUGCAUGUACAUAAUAGUGAGAAACAGUAUGCAAAUUAAUAUUUGAAUGGGUCUAGGCUAUUUUACUAAAUUUAUAUUACUUAUAAGAUGCUUAUCAAAAUCCUACACUUACAUGUUUGUGUAUGUACAGGUAUAUAUAAAACUUAAAAUGUACUUUAUAGGUUGCACUGAGCCUUUAAUAUCAUGAUAUGUAAUAAAAUUAUGUAAUAAAAAAUUAAUAAUAUUUUAAGGUACUGCAAUUAUAGAGUACUCUGUAAAGAUGAGGCCAUUAUAGUUUAUGUAAUGGCUAUGUCACUUAGGGCAAAUUGAGUUAGUUUCCUCACCCUUUAAAUGAGGGCAAUAAUAUUUAUGCAACACCUUUUUUCUAAGGAUGUACUCAUUGGUGCCACAUAGUGGAGAUACAAAAGAUGAGCAAUCCGGUGCUGGUAAGAUGGUUCAACAGUUUAAAGGCAACUGUUAGCAAGUUUGAUUUCUAUCUUAGGAAUCCACAUAGUGGAAGGAGAGAACUAACGUCUGGCAUUUGUUCUCUGACAUUCAUAUAUGCACCGUGGCAUACUCACCCACAUUCCUAUGUAGACCAUACAAAAUGUAGUUUACAAAGAUAAGCAACAGAAAUGGAACUUGCCGGGAGAUUUAUAAAUCACACUGAAAUGCUAGUAUGAACAGUGGGAGGAAUGAGCAAAAUGUUACAGCAGUUUAUAGGGAAGGUGGAGGGAUGGACUGAGACGAGGGAGGGAAAUCUGCAGUUGAAUGUAAUAUAUGAGAGAAAAAUACAAUGAAUAAAAAAAAUUUAAAAUAAUCCCAUUACUAUGAAAAAAAGUAAAGACUAGCUUCAUGGGCAGCAUAGAUCUGUCUACCUUUAGAAGACAAAUUAUAGUCAUGUGCUGUCUAACAAUAUAGUUUCUGCUUGUGGUUUGUUUUGAGAAGAUACCUUAUGUAGCCCAGAAACUCCCUGUAUAGUUGUCAGGAAUGUAUUCUGUAGUGGAAGGUGACAUUAAGAUUUCUGUAAUUGAAACAUUCAUUGUGCAAGACUAGUUUAUUGUUGCUGGUGGUAGAGAUCAGUAAUGAAUUACAGAUACAGAAAUUUAUAUUGCCUAUUGAUGGUGAAAGAUUGUAUUAAUGACAUUUGUAGACAUUUAUUUUAGGAUGUUUCCACAAUAAUGAAGUUUCCCUAAUAGUGCAUUUCUUAUAUUUCUGUUAAGGGAUUCAUUCACCAGCAGCUUUUAAAUAGUAAAAUCUUCUUUAUAUUCCACCAGAAAAGUUGGAACAGAGAACUUAUUAUACAUAUCAGACUCAUUUUGUGGGCCCAGAUUUAAGGGUAAUAACUGGCUAUAGUUAUUAUAUAGUCAUGUAUAGUAUAUAGUAUAGUGGUGGAGUUAGGCACCAAGUUAGGCACAAGUUAAACAGCCCAGUACUGUGCCACUAUGCUGUAGGUUUCCUUUAAGCAACUUGCUUUUAUUUCUAAAUGUGUUACCAGGUGUCAUCUAUGAAAGUACAGAAGUUUCCUCACUGGGGGAAAUUUG